rnacentral:tRNA from 1 species
GCAGGCGUAGCUCAGUCGGUUAGAGUGUCUGACUGUGGAUCAGAAGGUCGGUGGUUCGAAUCCACCCGCCUGUA